UACGGGGGGAGCAAGCGUUGUUCGGAUUUACUGGGCGUAAAGGGCGCGUAGGCGGUCGUGACAAGUCACUUGUGAAAUCUCCGGGCUUAACUCGGAACGGUCAAGUGAUACUGUCGGACUAGAGUACAGAAGGGCAACUGGAAUUCUCGGUGUAGCGGUGAAAUGCGUAGAUAUCGAGAGGAACACCUGCGGCGAAGGCGGGUUGCUGGCUGAUACUGACGCUGAGGCGCGAAAGCGCGGGGAGCGAACGGG
rnacentral:rRNA from 1 species